GUGCAUUGCGCUCUUGGGAUAUGCCUGAGAGCAUGUCUGCUUCAGUGCUUCUACU
rnacentral:rRNA from 1 species